UUAGAAAGAAUCCUUUUGACUUAGAGGCUUGUCUGGGAGCCCACUGCAUAUUAACCAAACUCUGCUGAAGGUCAUAGAUUAUAAAACUGAAAGGACAAUAUGAGAAGAAUAAGGAUCAAACCAGAUCAAAAUAUUUAUAUCUUUGUUAGCAGGCACGUUCUGGGGUGCACUUUACAGUUCUGAAAAUAGUCACAAACCUUAGUUUCCUCCUGUAGGGGCUGCAACCAUACUACUGUAGUCUGAAGAGAAACCAGAGGGUGACAGGCAGUAGGAGCACUGCUGUGUGUAUCUCACAUAGGGCAACCAAGACAUUACGACUUCAUGAAGACCCUGCAGAGCACACCUGCUUCAGUUGUUAUAGAAUAUUUUUGUCCCAGAUGGAAAGCAAAGUUGAGGUAUUCUCAUUCCCACUGUCUGAUAAACAUUAACAACUGCUGACUUUUUAAAUGACAAUAAAUAUUCCAUAAAAAACAACAAAAGACAGGAGAAGCACAAUUGCACCUUUAAAACCUCAGAGGGAUAAGGAUACAUGCUUCUCCACAUAAUGGACAAAAGAGGAAACCUGUGAGAUGUCCAGUAUAUUCUGAAUCUGGGGACUCAUAAUUUCUACAGUUCUGAAAAUAAUGGCUCACCAACCACUUCUGAAGAAAAUAUCCUAACUGACCUCUUAUUUCUCUUUUUCUGCUAAAAUGUUUAAUUAUUAUCUGCCAUUAAAUGAAAUCAAGGAGUUUUUGAAACUAAAGACACUCUUGUUUCUUUUAUUGACAAAGUUUAACUUCAUCUUCUUCAUAUUCUUAAGUGGUGAUGAUUCAGAUUUCACCUUUCACACUAUUGCAACUCACUCUUCAGUGGAAGAAUCUUGAAUUAAUGCCAUUAAAAGAAUAAGUGAG
ensembl:lncRNA